GACGAACGCUGGCGGCGUGCCUAAUACAUGCAAGUAGAACGCACAGGAUGCACCGUAGUUUACUACACCGUAUCCUGUGAGUUGCGAACGGGUGAGUAACGCGUAGGUAACCUGCCUGGUAGCGGGGGAUAACUAUUGGAAACGAUAGCUAAUACCGCAUAAGAACAUUUACUGCAUGGUAGAUGUUUAAAAGGUGCAAGAGCAUCACUACCAGAUGGACCUGCGUUGUAUUAGCUAGUUGGUGAGGUAACGGCUCACCAAGGCAACGAUACAUAGCCGACCUGAGGGGGUGAUCGGCCACACUGGGACUGAGACACGGCCCAGACUCCUACGGGAGGCAGCAGUAGGGAAUCUUCGGCAAUGGGGGGAACCCUGACCGAGCAACGCCGCGUGAGUGAAGAAGGUUUUCGGAUCGUAAAGCUCUGUUGUUAAGGAAGAACGUGUGUGAGAGUGGAAAGUUCACACAGUGACGGUACUUAACCAGAAAGGGACGGCUAACUACGUGCCAGCAGCCGCGGUAAUACGUAGGUCCCGAGCGUUGUCCGGAUUUAUUGGGCGUAAAGCGAGCGCAGGCGGUUAGAUAAGUCUGAAGUGAAAGGCAGUGGCUCAACCAUUGUAGGCUUUGGAAACUGUUUAACUUGAGUGCAGAAGGGGAGAGUGGAAUUCCAUGUGUAGCGGUGAAAUGCGUAGAUAUAUGGAGGAACACCGGUGGCGAAAGCGGCUCUCUGGUCUGUAACUGACGCUGAGGCUCGAAAGCGUGGGGAGCGAACAGG
rnacentral:rRNA from 1 species